rnacentral:rRNA from 1 species
AACACAUGCAAGUCGAGGGCAGCAUAAAAGUAGCAAUACUUGGUGGCGACCGGCGCACGGGUGAGUAACGCGUAUGCAACCUACCUAUCAGACGGGGAAUAACCCGGCGAAAGUCGGACUAAUACCGCAUAAAACAGGGGCACCGCAUGGUGAUAUUUGUUAAAGAAAUUCGCUGAUAGAUGGGCAUGCGUUCCAUUAGGUAGUUGGUGAGGUAACGGCUCACCAAGCCGACGAUGGAUAGGGGAACUGAGAGGUUGGUCCCCCACACUGGUACUGAGACACGGACCAGACUCCUACGGGAGGCAGCAGUGAGGAAUAUUGGUCAAUGGGCGGGAGCCUGAACCAGCCAAGUCGCGUGGAAAAGGAAGAAGGAUCUAUGGUUCGUAAACUUCUUUUGCAGGGGAAUAAAGUGCAGGACGUGUCCUGCUUUGUAUGUACCCUGAGAAUAAGGAUCGGCUAACUCCGUGCCAGCCGCCGC